CAGCCCCUCGAGCGGUGGGGAUGAUUAUUUGGCCUAAAGCGUCCGUAGCCGGCCGAGUAAGUCCCCCGUUAAAUCCAGCGUCUCAAGCGUUGGACUGCGGGAGAUACUACUUGGCUAGAGAGUGGGAGAGGUCAGCGGUAUUCUGGGGGUAGGGGCGAAAUCCUUUGAUCCCCGGAGGACCACCAGUGGCGAAGGCUGCUGACUAGAACACGUCUGACGGUCAGGGACGAAAGCUGGGGUAGCGAACCGGAUUAGAUACCCGAGUAGUCC
rnacentral:rRNA from 1 species